AUUGUAUACGUAUGUAUGUAUAUAACUUGGACGUUAUUUUACAGCAAAUCCAAUGUUGAAUGCGUCAUUAUUUAACGUUUUAUGGUAAUGGCAUUUGUAUUAAUUUAUACAAAAUAAAGUUUUAUUUUUUUUCACUUGAAAUCACCGAUGUCGUUUUGUUAAUAUGAUUUAAAAUCAUGUCAACGUUUACGCAAACGCGAUCGAAUAUUACGAGAAUUAUACAAAUUCAACGCUACAACAAUACGAAUAAACUACGAUUAAACACAGACGGCAGAUAUACUAAAAGCGCAAUAUGUUUCUAAAUAAUCAUUUCGGACAAAAUCUUUACAGCUGUACAGAUAAUAUGUUUACCUUUAUUGUUUUUUAUUUUUUAUUUAUUCCAUAUGGCCACCAUUCCGGCACCUUUGUGUUUAAUAAUAGGUCGUUCACUCUAACAUUAAAAUUAAUACGUUUGCACGCAAAUGUGCCGCGCCGUACGUUUCUAAAACGGAGAUAGCACAUGCGAGUAUCACGUCAUCUUAAGAUAACAAAGAUUUUACAUCGAGUUACGGGACCUGUAUGUUAAUACCGAGGUCGUACAUAUUAUAAAUAAUCGUCUUUUUGAUUACGUGUACGUAUAUUAUAACUGUUCACGUUGAUUCUUAACUUUCAUCAAUUUUCUACGGUAAUCUUUGUUCGUUACUAUCGUAUAUUAAAAUACACAUUAUAUUCGUAUUGUAAGUAUGUAAGAAAACGUUUUUUUCACGUGCACGUUGCGUUUUGCCGUAGAUUUUCGUAUCAUUAUGAUUAUAAUAUGUUACUACCGGUACUGAGGUCCUUUGUUGGGUUUCGGCGCGUUUACCGCGGUACAUAUUCCGACGGAACCAUCUCGAAAGCUAUAUACAAUAAUAUAUUGUAACAUAACAUUACUAUUAUCGAAUACGAUUAAAGCAUUUAAUAUUUAUCAUUGUAAUAAUAUGUCGUUUGGUUAUUCGAUUAUAAAGAUUUGAUUAAAGUCAAUUAAAAAACUAAUAAUAAUAACCCCGUCUUUUUAUUUUUGAUUUAGCCCCGU